CGUGUAGGUGGUUAGAUAAGUCAGAUGUGAAAGCUUCCGGCUUAACCGGAAAACUGCAUUUGAAACUGUUUAGCUUGAGUGCGAGAGAGGGUAGCGGAAUUCCCAGUGUAGCGGUGAAAUGCGUAGAUAUUGGGAAGGACACCAGUAGCGAAGGCGGCUACCUGGCUCGCAACUGACGCUAAUGCGCGAAAGCGUGGGGAGCAAACA
rnacentral:rRNA from 1 species